rnacentral:rRNA from 1 species
AGCGAACGCUGGCGGCAGGCCUAAUACAUGCAAGUCGAGCGCACCUUCGGGUGAGCGGCGGACGGGUGAGUAACGCGUGGGAACGUGCCCUUUGGUACGGGAUAACUGAGGGAAACUUCAGCUAAUACCGUAUGUGCCCUACGGGGGAAAGAUUUAUCGCCAUUGGAGCGGCCCGCGUUGGAUUAGGUAGUUGGUGGGGUAAAGGCCCACCAAGCCGACGAUCCAUAGCUGGUCUGAGAGGAUGAUCAGCCACACUGGGACUGAGACACGGCCCAGACUCCUACGGGAGGCAGCAGUAGGGAAUCUUGCGCAAUGGGCGAAAGCCUAACGCAGCCAUGCCGCGUGAAUGAUGAAGGUCUUAGGAUUGUAAAAUUCUUUCACCGGGGAAGAUAAUGACGGUACCCGGAGAAGAAGCCCCGGCUAACUUCGUGCCAGCCGCCGCCGUAAUAC